rnacentral:rRNA from 1 species
GUGCCAGCAGCCGCGGUAAAACGUAGGACACAAGCGUUAUCCGGAAUUACUGGGCGUAAAGGGCGUGCAGGCGGUUGAAUAAGUUAGGCGUGAAAGACUUCGGCUAAACCGGGGGAGGUCGUCUGAUACUGUUCAACUAGAGUGUGGUAGAGGCGUGUAGAAUUCCGGGUGUAGUGGUGAAAUGCGUAGAGAUCCGGAGGAAUACCAGUGGCGAAGGCGGCACGCUGGGCCAUUACUGACGCUAAGACGCGAAAGCAUGGGUAGCGAACGGGAUUAGAUACCCCCGUAGUCC